rnacentral:rRNA from 1 species
AUACGGAGGAUCCGAGCGUUAUCCGGAUUUAUUGGGUUUAAAGGGUGCGCAGGCGGCCAUUUAAGUCAGCGGUUAAAUCGUGGGGCUCAACCCCAUUCUGCCGUUGAUACUGGGUGGCUUGAUUGCGGUCGAGGUUGGCGGAAUUCGUUGUGUAGCGGUGAAAUGCAUAGAUAUGACGAAGAACACCGAUUGCGUAGGCAGCUGACCAGACCGCAAAUGACGCUCAUGCACGAAAGUGCUGGGAUCGAACAGGAUUAGAUACCCUGGUAGUCCGCACAGUAAACGAUGAAUACUUGUUUUCGGCGAUAUAAUGUCGGAGGCAAAGCGAAAGCGAUAAGUAUUCCACCUGGGGAGUACGCCGGCAACGGUGAAACUCAAAUGAAUUGGCGGGG